UACGUAGGGGGCAAGCGUUGUCCGGAAUCAUUGGGCGUAAAGAGCGUGUAGGCGGCCAGAUAAGUCCGCUGUGAAAUCUCGAGGCUCAACUUCGAGCUGUCGGUGGAAACUGUCUGGCUAGAGUCCGGAAGAGGAGAAUGGAAUUCCAGGUGUAGCGGUGAAAUGCGUAGAUAUCUGGAGGAAUACCGGUGGCGAAGGCGGCAUCCUGGACCGGCAUUGACGCUGAUGAGCGAAAGCUAGGGGAGCAAACGGG
rnacentral:rRNA from 1 species